GUCUACAGACAUACCAACCUAAGUGCACCCAGUCUUGUCUGAUCUCAGAAGCCAAGCAGGGUUGGGACUUGGUGGUACUUGGAUGGGAGAAAUUUACAGUAUUUGGAGAGC
rnacentral:rRNA from 1 species